AUGGCGCCUCAAGAAUUGCAUGAUGAUGAUAAACACAAGGAGGCACCUACUUCUACUUGUACCCCGCCCAGCAGCAACGGCAACCCUUCCGGUGCCGUCCAUCCCACCACCUCCAGCCCGCCGUCCGACGCCUCCGGCCACCGCCCAGCCGCCGCCAAUUCCUUCCCUCUCGUCCUCAAGUUUGAGGAAGUGGUGUACAAGGUGAAGGUCGGGCAGGCGACGGAGGGAUGGUGCACGAGGGUGGUGUCGUCGGCGUGCGGCGGCGGGGCGGUGACCAAGAAGAACAAGGCGGCGGCGUUGCCGCCGAGGGAGAAGACGAUCAUCAGCGGCAUGUCGGGGGUGGUGCGGCCGGGGGAGAUGCUGGCGAUGCUGGGCCCGUCAGGGAGCGGCAAGACGACGCUGCUGACGGCGCUGGGAGGCCGGCACCGGCACGCGCUGCUGUCCGGGAAGAUCACCUACAACGGGCAGCCCUUCUCCGGCGCCGUGAAGCGGCGCACGGGCUUCGUGACGCAGCACGACGUGCUGUACCCGCACCUGACCGUCUCCGAGACGCUGUGGUACACGGCGCUGCUCCGGCUUCCCCGCGCGCUGAGCGCCGGCGAGAAGCGCGUGCAGGCGGAGGCGGUGGCCCGGGAGCUAGGCCUCUCCAAGGUGGCACACAGCAUGGUCGGCGGAGUGCGCGGCGUGCGCGGGCUGUCCGGCGGCGAGCGCAAGCGGGUGAGCAUCGGGCUGGAGAUGCUCGUGGACCCCAGCCUGCUGCUCCUGGACGAGCCCACCUCAGGGCUCGACUCCACCACGGCCGCAAGGAUCGUCGGCACGCUCCGCCGCAUGGCCGCCGGCGGCGGCCGCACGGUCGUGGUGACCAUCCACCAGCCGUCGUCGCGGCUCUACCACAUGUUCGACAAGGUGCUCCUGCUGUCCGCCGAGGGGCGGGCCAUCUACUACGGCCGCGCCGCCGACGCGCUCUCCUACUUCGCCUCCGUCGGCUUCGCGUCGCCGCUGUCCGUCAACCCGGCCGACCUCAUGCUCGACCUCGCCAACGGUAUCUUGCCGGAGACGAACGGCGACGGCGUUCCUGGCGGCGGGAGCGAGGGCGAGCAGAAGGAGGUGAGGGCGAAGCUGGCGGACGCGUACGCGCGCCACAUUGCGCCGGCGGUGAAGCUCGACAUAUGCUCCAACGAGGGGGCCAGCGCCGGCGGCACUGGGCAGGCGUCGCGGCGCCGGGGCGCCUCAGCUAGGGUGGAGUGGACGGCCGGGUGGUGCGCCCAGUUCUCGGUGCUCCUCCGGCGCGGGCUCAAGGAGCGCCGCCACGAGUCCUUCAACAAGCUCCGCAUCUUCCAGGUGCUGAGCGUGGCCUUCCUCGCAGGCCUCCUGUGGUGGCGCACGCCCGCCGCACACCUGCAGGACCGCACCGCGCUCAUCUUCUUCUUCUCCGUCUUCUGGGGCUUCUUCCCGCUCUACAACGCCGUCUUCGUCUUCCCCCUCGAGCGCCCCAUGCUGCUCAAGGAGCGCUCCUCGGGGAUGUACCGCCUCUCCUCCUAUUUCGCUGCGCGCACCGCCGCCGACCUCCCCAUGGAGCUCGGCCUGCCCACCGCCUUCGUCCUCAUCCUCUACUGGAUGGGCGGCCUCGACCCGCGCCCGGCCUCCUUCCUGCUCUCCCUCCUCGUCGUGCUCUACAGCGUGCUCGUGGCCCAGAGCCUCGGGCUCGCCGUCGGCGCCGUGCUCAUGGACGUCAAGCAGGGCACCACGCUCGCCUCCGUCGUCACCAUGGUCUUCCUCAUCGCGGGCGGCUACUACGUGCAGCACAUCCCGCCCUUCAUCGGGUGGCUCAAGUGGCUCAACUACAGCUUCUACUGCUACCGGCUCCUCCUCGGCAUCCAGUUCCGCGACGGCGGGGCCCUCUACGACUGCGGCGGCGGCGCACUCUGCCCUGUCGCCGACUUCCCCGCCAUCAAGGCCGUCGGGCUCAACAACCACUGGGUGGACGUCUGCGUCAUGGCGCUCCUCCUCGUCGGCUACCGAGUCGUCGCCUACCUUGCCUUGGACCGCCUGCAGCCGAGGUGA
rnacentral:rRNA from 1 species